GUGUCUCUAAUCCCAUGAACUAUCGACCAACCACUCUUUGAGACAAAGCACUCUGAGGUUAGGGUGAAGGAUCUUCCUGUGUUCCUGGGAGAGGAGAUGAGGAGUGGCCUGGAGAGUAAUCAGAGAGCAAAUGACGAGCUGUACCAGUUGUAGGCCCAAUUUGAGGAAGAUAUCGAUAGCUUCGGAAAUUGCCCAGGAAGUUAGCUCCAGGGAGCGAUUCUUCGGCAGCCAACCAUUCAGCUGGAGAUUCAGUUCCUGGAAGAGAGAAAGGGCCAUCUGGGUGGAAGUCAGUGCUGUUUUGUAAGAUCGGCCCUUGAGUAAUCCGUCGUCAAAAUAUGGGAAGACUAAAAUUGCUUCUCAACGAAGCAGUCUACAUAUCCAGAGGUCUUGGCCCUGAAGACCUUUAGUGUGUGCAGAGACCAUCUGCGGUCUUGGACAAGAACAUUCAACCAUCAAAUGGGAGGUCCUCAACAGUGUUCUGAACCUCUCUCAGGAACCCUGAGAGCUGGAACCAUGAUGCCCUGCACAUAACAACCGUUGCGGAGAUGGAUCUGGUAGCAGUGUCCAAGACAUCCAAGGAUGCUUGAAGAGAGGUUCUGGCUAAUAAUUGACCCUCCACAAUGAUGGCCUGA